rnacentral:rRNA from 2 species
GGACUACUGGGGUAUCUAAUCCUGUUUGCUCCCCAUGCUUUCGUACCUGAACGUCGGUGCUGGACCAGGAAGCCGCUUUCGCCACUGGUGUUCUUUCCGAUAUCUACGCAUUUCACCGCUACACCGGAAGUUCCGCUUCCCUCUUCCGCACCCUAGCUGAACAGUCUCGAAUGCCAUUCCCAGGUUGAGCCCGGGGCUUUCACAUCCGACUUAUCCAACCGUCUACGUACGCUUUACGCCCAGUAAUUCCGAUUAACGCUCGCACCCUCUGUAUUACCGCGGCUGCUGGCAC